rnacentral:rRNA from 1 species
GAGGAAGUAAAAGUCGUAACAAGGUUUCCGUAGGUGAACCUGCGGAAGGAUCAUUAGUAUUUAAACCGGAAGCCCGGGCCUUUGGCCUGCAGGCUUUUUUGGUAUUACCUUAACUCUUCUGUGUACCUAUUACUUGUUGCUUCCCUGGGGUCACCCAGGGAAGGCAUACAUAUACUCUGCUCAUUGCAGUCAGUCUGAUACUGUUUUUUCAUAAACGUUAAAACUUUCAACAACGGAUCUCUUGGUUCUCGCAUCGAUGAAGAACGCAGCGAAAUGCGAUAAGUAGUGUGAAUUGCAGAAUUCCGUGAAUCAUCGAAUCUUUGAACGCACAUUGCGCCCUCUGGUAUUCCGGAGGGCAUGCCUGUUCGAGCGUCAUUAAAAACCCUCAAGCUAAGGUUUACCUUCUGCUUGGUCUUGGAGCUGGAGAUGAAUGUCUUCAUUCCGAAAUACAUAGGCGAAUUGAAAGUGCCAGAUACCUAGUAAUCUUACCGGUUGAUAGCAUGCUCACAUUCCGCCUUAACCCCCUAAACUUUCUAGUUGACCUCGGAUCAGGUA